CGCGGCCUAUCAGCUUGUUGGUGGGGUAACGGCCCACCAAGGCGACGACGGGUAGCUGGUCUGAGAGGGCGAUCAGCCACACUGGGACUGAGACACGGCCCAGACUCCUACGGGAGGCAGCAGUGGGGAAUCUUGCGCAAUGGGGGAAACCCUGACGCAGCGACGCCGCGUGCGGGAUGAAGGCCUUCGGGUUGUAAACCGCUUUCAGCGGGGACGAAAUUGACGGUACCUGCAGAAGAAGGCCCGGCCAACUACGUGCCAGCAGCCGCGGUAAUACGUAGGGGCCAAGCGUUGUCCGGAUUUAUUGGGCGUAAAGAGCUCGUAGGCGGCUCGGCAAGUCAGGUGUGAAAUCUCUACGCUCAACGUGGAGGCGCCACCUGAUACUGCCAUGGCUAGAGUCCGGUAGGGGAGUGUGGAAUUCCCGGUGUAGCGGUGAAAUGCGCAGAUAUCGGGAGGAACACCAGUGGCGAAGGCGGCACUCUGGGCCGGUACUGACGCUGAGGAGCGAAAGCGUGGGGAGCGAACAGGAUUAGAUACCCUGGUAGUCCACGCCGUAAACGUUGGGCACUAGGUGUGGGACCCUAUCGACGGGUUCCGUGCCGCAGCUAACGCAUUAAGUGCCCCGCCUGGGGAGUACGG
rnacentral:rRNA from 1 species